rnacentral:rRNA from 1 species
GAGUCUUAACCGGGCGUUAAGUUGCAGGGUAUAGACCCGAAACCCGGUGAUCUAGCCAUGGGCAGGUUGAAGGUUGGGUAACACUAACUGGAGGACCGAACCGACUAAUGUUGAAAAAUUAGCGGAUGACCUGUGGCUGGGGGUGAAAGGCCAAUCAAACCGGGAGAUAGCUGGUUCUCCCCGAAAGCUAUUUAGGUAGCGCCUCGUGAAUUCAUCUCCGGGGGUAGAGCACUGUUUCGGCUAGGGGGCCAUCCCGGCUUACCAACCCGAUGCAAACUGCGAAUACCGGAGAAUGUUAUCACGGGAGACACACGGCGGGUGCUAACGUCCGUCGUGAAGAGGGAAACAACCCAGACCGCCAGCUAAGGUCCCAAAGUCAUAGUUAAGUGGGAAACGAUGUGGGAAGGCCCAGACAGCCAGGAUGUUGGCUUAGAAGCAGCCAUCAUUUAAAGAAAGCGUAAUAGCUCACUGGUCGAGUCGGCCUGCGCGGAAGAUGUAACGGGGCUAAACUAUGCACCGAAGCUGCGGCAGCGACACUAUGUGUUGU